GCUCAGGAAGAGGAGUCCUUCCCCUGCUCCCUCACAAUAUCAAACCCCCUGAUUCGUUUGAUAUGUCUUAAUUACCGCAGUCCUAAUUCUCCUCUCCCUACCAGUUCUUGCUGCUGGCAUCACAAUACUUCUGACAGAUCGAAAUCUGAACACUACAUUCUUCGACCCUGCAGGAGGCGGAGACCCAAUUUUAUAUCAACACUUAUUUUGAUUCUUCGGACACCCAGAAGUUUACAUCCUUAUCCUACCAGGAUUUGGAAUAAUUUCUCAUGUCAUAGCCUACUAUGCUGGCAAAAAAGAACCCUUCAGCUACAUAGGCAUAGUCUGAGCCAUGCCAUCCAUUGGCUUUUUAGGCUUCAUCGUAUGUGCUCAUCACAUAUUCACAGUUGGAGUAGACGUAGACACCCGAACCUACUUUACAUCCGCCACCGCAACUAUUGCAAUCCCCACUGGCAUUAAAGUCUUCAGCUGACUAGCCACCCUACAUGGAGGGACAAUUAAAUGAGACCCACCUAUACCAUGAGUUCUAGGCUUUAUCCUCCUUUUCACCAUCAGAUAAUUAACAGGGAUCAUUCUAGCUAACUCCUCCCUAGAUAUCGCUUUACACGAUACUACGUAGUUGCACACUUCCAAUAUAUAUUAUCCAUAGGAGCAGUGUUCGCCAUUCUAACUGGCUUUACACAUUGAUUCCCACUAUUUACUGGCUAUACCCUUCACCCUACA